GACGAACGCUGGCGGCGUGCCUAAUACAUGCAAGUUGAGCGCUGAAGGUUGGUACUUGUACCAACUGGAUGAGCAGCGAACGGGUGAGUAACGCGUGGGGAAUCUGCCUUUGAGCGGGGGACAACAUUUGGAAACGAAUGCUAAUACCGCAUAAAAACUUUAAACACAAGUUUUAAGUUUGAAAGAUGCAAUUGCAUCACUCAAAGAUGAUCCCGCGUUGUAUUAGCUAGUUGGUGAGGUAAAGGCUCACCAAGGCGAUGAUACAUAGCCGACCUGAGAGGGGGAUCGGCCACAAUGGGACUGAGACAAGGCCCAAACUCCUACGGGAGGCAGCAGUAGGGAAUCUUCGGCAAUGGACGAAAGUCUGACCGAGCAACGCCGCGUGAGUGAAGAAGGUUUUCGGAUCGUAAAACUCUGUUGGUAGAGAAGAACGUUGGUGAGAGUGGAAAGCUCAUCAAGUGACGGUAACUACCCAGAAAGGGACGGCUAACUACGU
rnacentral:rRNA from 1 species